CAGACUAUAGCCAGUCCAUAAUUUUGGCAUCCCCUGUGGACAAAGUGGUUCUCUGUCUGACUGACUAUGAAGGACGAGCAAGAAUCCACUUGAAGAUCUAAUAUGGGGCCCUGGUGGUCCUGGGAUACCAGUCUGGCCAGGUGGACCUUUUUGUACAUAGAAGAAAAGAAAGAAGUUACCUGGUAAUCCUGGAUCUCCAGGAGACCCUUUUUGACCUUGUGGACCAAGCAGAAGUGUUGGGUCACCUCUCUUUCCUGUUAAGGAAACCCUGGCUCCCCCUUUUGUCCUUUCUCAAGGCGAAUGUUAAUGCUGCCACCAUCUCCUGGAAGCCCUCUUUCACCUUUGAACCAAACAUAUGCAAUGACCAGGUGUCCCCUUACCAAUGACGAUCCAGAUCCCAAAAAAGAAAAGAAAAAAAGAAAAAAGAAGGAAAGUUGUAAGUUAAUCUCCAGAAAAGAAGUAAUAAAGGAAUUGAAGGGAAAGCAGAUAUGUCUCUUGUUCUUGCAUUGUUUCUGCCCCUAA